rnacentral:rRNA from 1 species
UACGGAGGGUGCGAGCGUUGUCCGGAUUCAUUGGGCGUAAAGCGCGCGUAGGCGGCCCGGUAAGUCGGAUGUGAAAUCUCACGGCUCAACCGUGGAACUGCAUUCGAAACUGUCGGGCUAGAGGCAGGUAGGGGAGAUCGGAAUUCCCGGUGUAGCGGUGAAAUGCGCAGAUAUCGGGAGGAACACCGGUGGCGAAGGCGGAUCUCUGGGCCUGUCCUGACGCUCAGGCGCGAAAGCUAGGGGAGCGAACAGG